rnacentral:rRNA from 1 species
GACGAACGCUGGCGGCGUGCUUAACACAUGCAAGUCGAACGGUAAGGCCCUUCGGGGUACACGAGUGGCGAACGGGUGAGUAACACGUGGGUGAUCUGCCCUGCACUUCGGGAUAAGCCUGGGAAACUGGGUCUAAUACCGGAUAGGACCACUGCCUGCAUGGGUGGUGGUGGAAAGCUUUUGCGGUGUGGGAUGGGCCCGCGGCCUAUCAGCUUGUUGGUGGGGUGAUGGCCUACCAAGGCGACGACGGGUAGCCGGCCUGAGAGGGUGACCGGUCAACAUGGGACUGAGAUACGGCCCAGAGUCCUACGGGAGGCAGCAGUGGGGAAUAUUGCACAAUGGGCGCAAGCCUGAUGCAGCGACGCCGCGGGAGGGAUGACGGCCUUCGGGUUGUAAACCUCUUUCAGCACCGACGAAGCGCAAGUGACGGUAGGUGCAGAAGAAGGACCGGCCAACUACGUGCCAGCAGCCGCGGUAA